rnacentral:lncRNA from 1 species
CCCGUAACAGAUAAUUAUUCUCAAAAUUUACUAAAUGACUUUCAAUCAAAAUACCAAUUCACAUUGUAAUUGGAAAAUAUCUAAUAUUUCAUAUUCCAAGUAAACAAAGGAAAAACUCUUAAGUCUCAUCCUCAAAUAUAUUUUCUUUCUAUAUAACAGUUUCAUGCAUAAUUGUUAUACAUAUUUCAUCCUCGAACAAUAUAAAAUAUUUUUUUGGUCCAAGCCUUAAACAACUUAUGAAUGAACCCUAUCUUGCUAUCAAAAUAAUUAACUUCAAACUAGAAGUAUUAUUCACAGUACUCGAUAUCAAGUUGAUCUUGCAAAAUCACUUAUAUACUAAUACACAAACAAUCACAAUGUACUUUAAUAUUCCAUGGCUAGUACUCCACUUAAUAUUAGUCAAAAUCUAAUUUAAUCAUAACUUGAAAAUUUGGUACAUUUUUAUCACAAUCACUAGUGAUCUUCAACUUUAAGCUCUCAUACAUUCCUAUCACAUUUCCUAUUGCUCUUAAACCUUCAUUCUGAUUCAAAUUUUAUUACAAUUCUCAAUGAUCUUAAACCUCCAACUUUGAAACCACUUGUGCCACAGUCUUUAGUAGUCUUAAACCUUAAGCUCUUGUAUCAUUCAUAUCGCAAUCCUAAGUGAUCUUAAAUCUAGCUUCUGAUAGUUUAAUUGCCAUAAUUUCCAAUGAUCUUAAACCUAAGCUCUGAUACCACUAAAUGCCACGCACCGGAUCCGAACAUGAUUUUUUUUUUUUUGCACCCCAGAUCCGGUUCAUAACACGGCCGUGCUAUUGUAGGUUGUUGCCCACAAUAACACGAAGCCCAUAAUAACAAUUUUAUUUCAUGAAAUAAGAUCAAAUCUGAUCAAAUUUAUUUACUAAUCAUAAAGAAACAAGUACAGAGCAUCUAAAUCAAAUACUUGAGUUUACAAUAUUACAACCCAAACUUAUUAACUAUGCUUCAACUCCAAUUUUCAUUUACUCUUUCCCGCUCCUAAUCGCCUUAAUUAUCUAAAAUAAAUAAAAAAACAACAGGAGGGGUAUGAGCUUGCGGCUCAGUAGGUAACCAUGUACUAUCUUAUCAGAUCAACCAUAAUCUUUCUCAUGCCAAUGCAUCAUUUGAAGAAUUUAACAGCAAAAUAAAGCAUUUCAUAGAUGAUUUAUUCAAAACAAGUUAUAAAGCAAUGUAUGCUCCAACCAUGUAAGUUCAUAAAUAUGAUAAUGCAAGUCAUAUAAAAAUGCUGCCAUUCACCCAUACUUUAUAAAUCUUACUCUUAGACGGAUGUGCUGCUAUGGUCACUAUAAUCCUGUGACAGGGCUUGUAUUCAUAGUCGACAAGUUUUAUAACACAUUCAUAUUCGUUACCAACUUUAACCCAUUGGCAAAGGGCCAUAUUCGUUGGAUGCUAGCUCCAGGGGGGUCGACUGACCUCUAUUUUUAGAGGUGGGCAUAGCUAUUUGAGAGUUCAUAAAUCAUUAUUCUUUUUCAUAAAUCAUACUUUCAUACAUAGGUUGAAAAAUGACAAAUGGCAUUGUAAUGUAUAAAAUUCAUGAUCAUGCCACAAAUCUUAUUUUCAUGUAAUUUAUCAUAAUCAUAAUUCAUCGUAAUGUAUAAAAUUCAUGAUCAUGCUACAAAUCUUAUUUUCAUGCAAUUUAUCAUAACCAUAAUUCAUACUCAAAUUUUUAUG